rnacentral:rRNA from 1 species
UGGGGAAUUUUGGACAAUGGGCGAAAGCCUGAUCCAGCAAUGCCGCGUGUGUGAAGAAGGCCUUCGGGUUGUAAAGCACUUUUGUCCGGAAAGAAAUUCUUGGCUCUAAUACAGUCGGGGGAUGACGGUACCGGAAGAAUAAGCACCGGCUAACUACGUGCCAGCAGCCGCGGUAAUACGUAGGGUGCAAGCGUUAAUCGGAAUUACUGGGCGUAAAGCGUGCGCAGGCGGUUUGCUAAGACCGAUGUGAAAUCCCCGGGCUCAACCUGGGAACUGCAUUGGUGACUGGCAGGCUAGAGUAUGGCAGAGGGGGGUAGAAUUCCACGUGUAGCAGUGAAAUGCGUAGAGAUGUGGAGGAAUACCGAUGGCGAAGGCAGCCCCCUGGGCCAAUACUGACGCUCAUGCACGAAAGCGUGGGGAGCAAACAGGAUUAGAUACCCUGGUAGUCCACGCCCUAAACGAUGUCAACUAGUUGUUGGGGAUUCAUUUCCUUAGUAACGUAGCUAACGCGUGAAGUUGACCGCCUGGGGAGUACGGUCG